GAUGAAGAACGCAGCGAAAUGCGAUACGUAAUGUGAAUUGCAGAAUUCAGUGAAUCAUCGAGUCUUUGAACGCACAUUGCGCCCUUUGGUAUUCCGAAGGGCAUGCCUGUUCGAGCGUCAUUAUCACCCCUCAAGCCCCCCGGCUUGGUGUUGGACGGUUUGGCGGAGGCCCUCCGGGGCCCUUGCCCCUCCCAAAGACAAUGACGGCUGCCUCGUUGGACCCCCGGUACACUGAGUUCUUUACGGGACACGUACUGGAGUAAGGGUGCACGGGGCACGGUCUGCCUCCCCUCAGGGAGAAUCUUUUUUUACAAGGUUGACCUCGGAUCAGGUAGGGAUACCCGCUGAACUUAAGCAUAUCAAUAAGCGGAGG
rnacentral:misc_RNA from 1 species